rnacentral:rRNA from 1 species
GUUAACGGAGCGAAAGCGACGUUCAACCGCAAAAGAAGCAGAGGGGGCUUAGUGGUGGGGUGACUGCGUACCUUUUGUAUAAUGGGUCAGCGACUUAUAUUCUGUAGCAAGGUUAACCGAAUAGGGGAGCCGGAGGGAAACCGAGUCUUAACCGGGCGUUAAGUUGCAGGGUAUAGACCCGAAACCCGGUGAUCUAGCCAUGGGCAGGUUGAAGGUUGGGUAACACUAACUGGAGGACCGAACCGACUAAUGUUGAAAAAUUAGCGGAUGACCUGUGGCUGGGGGUGAAAGGCCAAUCAAACCGGGAGAUAGCUGGUUCUCCCCGAAAGCUAUUUAGGUAGCGCCUCGUGAAUUCAUCUCCGGGGGUAGAGCACUGUUUCGGCUAGGGGGCCAUCCCGGCUUACCAACCCGAUGCAAACUGCGAAUACCGGAGAAUGUUAUCACGGGAGACACACGGCGGGUGCUAACGUCCGUCGUGAAGAGGGAAACAACCCAGACCGCCAGCUAAGGUCCCAAAGUCAUGGUUAAGUGGGAAACGAUGUGGGAAGGCCCAGACAGCCAGGAUGUUGGCUUAGAAGCAGCCAUCAUUUAAAGAAAGCGUAAUAGCUCACUGGUCGAGUCGGCCUGCGCGGAAGAUGUAACGGGGCUAAACCAUGCACCGAAGCUGCGGCAGCGAACGUAUCACUUAAAGCGAUUCAGCGGGUUACGAUUGACGGAGCGAAGCGACGUCAAAGCGUAUACAAAGUCGAGUCGGUUUAAGGAUACGUUCGUUGGGUAGGGGAGCGUUCUGUAAGCCUGUGAAGGUGGCCU